GACGUGAGAUAAUUUCUUCUCUCCCAAAGCCAGGAGAAGAACCAUAUUACGUCGGUGGUUUGGCUCACCUAGCAACUGCAUGUAAUCCGGAUUACAAAUUUGCAAUCGCAGAACAUUCCAUCGUAUAUAUCGGCCGUACAAUUGAUAUCUUUAUUCACGAAGUUGGACAUCUAAUCAAUAUUGCUCACGAUUGGGAAGCUAAAAAUUGCUUAGACGAAUUGCUACCUGGAAAAGAAAAUUAUUCUUAUUGCGCUAAGAAAGGCGUAAUAGAAUUUUUAGAUACACACUCGUGUCAAUUUGAUCAUUGUGACAAUGGUGAGAAAUGAGAGUGGAUAUCUCCAUAAAUCGACUACGUUUAUCCAUUGACAAUAAUUGUUUCUAUAUGAAAAUUAAACUACAACUAUAAUAACUCAAUGUCACGUAUAAACGUUCAAAAAGUUC